rnacentral:misc_RNA from 1 species
UUCAGGAAUACAAUCAACAAUUCAAUACACAGAGAGGAUUUUGUGUGGAAUUUUUUUCUAGGUGCUAGGAAUGUAAUUUAGCACAGAGAAAUAUAUAUGUUAACAAUCCAAUAGAAGUUCAUCUGUUUAUCAAUAAAAGCAAAAAUUAACGGGUAUCACCUAUCAGUGAAUGAGCUUAUAGAAGUUUCUAAUCCAAGAAUCAUGUCAUUGGCAUGAGAUAUAGAUAAGAGACAACACAUAUCUAGCAAUUUCGCAACCCAAUUCUCAUAUAUUAAGCUAUGAAGUAGGAAGUCUUCAAAUUGCAAUAUUCAAAGACAGCGGCAAUUCCAUUACAUGGGAAAUGAAAGAUGUUUAGCAUCAGUCAUCUUUCAAUCUCUUGAGAAGCUUAGAAGCCCACCUCCGAACACGUCUCUUCAACGUGUAGCCAACAACAACUCCAGCAACAAAGAAAAUCGAACAAAGCUUUGAACAGGUCCACAGUGAAACCAUUUGUCUGCAAUUGGGCAAAUUAGCAAUAAUGAUCAAUGAAGGAAAACAUAGGAAAAGAGAAUGAAAAGGAUGAGGAAAUAAAUAGGCAAUUACAAUUCAAUUUGCAAUGAAACAUUCACAGCCAAUCAACAAGACUUUGCAGGGCUCUGAAUGAGAUGAUCUCAUGGGGCUUAAAAGUUAAAAUUGAGACUAUGCUUAUAUAACAGUUCCAGAAAUUAUCAGAAAUUUAAUCAGCAAAGUUAUUUGGUUUCAAACAUUGCAAAUUUAACAUUGUAGGAAUCAAACAGCUAAUAAAUUUUUCGAACCUACCCAUUCAGGUUGUAGUUUAGGAAAAGGCACCAUGGCCAACGCUUUAUAUCAGGCACACAACCAAUUUGAAAAGUACUGUUUUCAAGAACAAUUUGGUUGCUUUGCUUGCAUUAAAAAUGAGGAAAAUCACAGACCCAUGCAUCUUAUAUCAAAAAACUUAUCAAAUGAUACUUACAUAACCAAUUUGAGAAGUACUAUUUUCAAGAACAGUUUGCUUACUUUGCUUACAUUGAAAAUGAGGAAAAUCACAAACCAUGCACCUUAUAUCAAAUGAUAACUCUUCCAGUUGUCGAAAUUUGAGACAAAACAUGAGCUGAAACCUUGCAAAUUUCCAAUGACUAAAUGAGCAAUGCAUUAAUUUUACUUGACUACCAAAUUCCAAACAUAGCAUUUGCAUUACUCAAUCCUGCAAUACUACCAGUUUGUACCACACACAUCUAAAACAAUCACUGGUUAAAACCCAGCAUACAAAUCAAGAAUUACCACAAAG